rnacentral:rRNA from 1 species
CCUACGGGGCGCAGCAGUGAGGAAUAUUGGUCAAUGGGCGCGAGACUGAACCAGCCAAGUAGCGUGAAGGAUGACUGCCCUACGGGUUGUAAACUUCUUUUAUAAAGGACUAAAGUGAGGCACGUGUGCCUUUUUGUAUGUACUUUAUGAAUAAGGAUAGGCUAACUCCGUGCCAGCAGCCGCGGUAAUACGGAGGAUCCGAGCGUUAUCCGGAUUUAUUGGGUUUAAAGGGAGCGUAGAUGGGUUGUUAAGUCAGUUGUGAAAGUUUGCGGCUCAACCGUAAAAUUGCAAUUGAUACUGGCAGUCUUGAGUACAGUUGAGGUAGGCGGAAUUCGUGGUGUAGCGGUGAAAUGCUUAGAUAUCACGAAGAACUCCGAUUGCGAAGGCAGCUUACUAAACUGCCACUGACAUUGAUGCUCGAAAGUGUGGGUAUCAAACAGGAUUAGAUACCCGGGUAGUC